CUUGACCUCAAAUCGGGUGAGACUACCCGCUGAACUUAAGCAUAUCAUA
rnacentral:rRNA from 2 species